UGAACGCUGGCGGCGUGCCUAAUACAUGCAAGUCGAGCGAGCGGACGAGAAGCUUGCUUCUCUGAUGUUAGCGGCGGACGGGUGAGUAACACGUGGAUAACCUACCUAUAAGACUGGGAUAACUUCGGGAAACCGGAGCUAAUACCGGAUAAUAUUUUGAACCGCAUGGUUCAAAAGUGAAAGACGGUCUUGCUGUCACUUAUAGAUGGAUCCGCGCUGCAUUAGCUAGUUGGUAAGGUAACGGCUUACCAAGGCAACGAUGCAUAGCCGACCUGAGAGGGUGAUCGGCCACACUGGAACUGAGACACGGUCCAGACUCCUACGGGAGGCAGCAGUAGGGAAUCUUCCGCAAUGGGCGAAAGCCUGACGGAGCAACGCCGCGUGAGUGAUGAAGGUCUUCGGAUCGUAAAACUCUGUUAUUAGGGAAGAACAUAUGUGUAAGUAACUGUGCACAUCUUGACGGUACCUAAUCAGAAAGCCACGGCUAACUACGUG
rnacentral:rRNA from 1 species